CAUAUGUAUCUUGUGGGCUCUAUUGUAAUCCUGUUGUAAUGUUACCACUCGUGUUAAUUCCUCUGGCAUCACGUGUGUGAUUCUUCGCGCACGUCGUGUCGGAGGGCGUCUCUGAAUCGAUAUCAUAUGGAUUUCGGCGGGUUCGCUGGAAUCCUCAUGGUACCGGUUCCGGGGCGUCACAAGUUGGUAUCAGAGCUCAGGUUGACGGUACCCCACUAGUCCAGCCUGUAGGAUAACCUUGCCAACGGACGUUGUGUCUAGUGUCAAAACUAUUUUCUGAAAACUUCGUUGGAUAGUUCUGAUUAGCUCUGAUUUUUCUCCUUACCUCUAUUCUUUCUCAUCUUACCUAUGCGAGUUUUGGGUCUUCUCUCUUAUCUGAGUUCUCCGAGUCUUAGGUUCCGACGAGGGUUGGACGAUCUUUGCCCCUCACCUAUUAGGUCCGAUCUUCGGAGGAUCUCGACGAUAGCGCAUCAACAACGACGGAACAACGACUUCUUGUUAGUGGUGUCGCCGAUCUACGUGGAGCAAGAACUCUUGUUAGUGGUGUCGAGGAGAUCGACACGUCGCCUGAAGAUCCGAUAGCUUCACCUUUCUUCCCCGUACCAGGACGUGGAACCUCGGGGCGAGGUUCCUUGUUAGUGGUGUCGAUUGUAACGGCCCAGGGUAGCACCCCUAUUAGAUUUGCUUGUGUUUUUAUUUUGUGCAUCAUCAUGGCAUCAUGCAUGCAUCACAUCCAUGUUUUAACAAAAUAAAAUUAUUUUUAUUAAACCCUAUUUUGUUGUUCAAACUUCUCCCCUCUUUCAUUUCAAAUUAUACCCAUCCUUUCUUUGUUUAAUUUCACAACUAAAAUCUAUUUAGAAAUGGUUUUGAAAACAAACAAACAAAAACAAAACAGUUUUAAAAUAAAAAUAAAAAGGGAGCAGACCUCCCAACCAGCCAGGCCUGGGAAGGCCCAGCCGGCAGCCCUCUCCCUCUCUUCCCCGGUGGCCCAUCUCUCUCUCUCUGGCCUUUCUCCUCCCUCUCAGCCCAACGCCUGGACUUCUUCCCUCUGGCCCGAGUCGGCCCGACCCAGCCCACCUUGCCACCGUACCGCUUCGAGGAGAGGAGAUUCUCCUCGUUGUCGUCUUCUCCAACGGAGCACGCAGAGGGCGUGAACCUCUCCCCGCUCACGUCACCGAGCGCCUCCACCACCCAACCACUCCCCCUCCCCUUUUAAUCUCCUCGAGGCCUCGGCAAACCCUAGCCUCCCCCUUUUUUCCCCCUCCUCGCGCCGCCACUUUCCUUCCCCUUCUUCCUCUGUGAAGCACCGAGCGCCACCGCCACUUCCUCGUCGUCGCCUGCUCGUCUCCGGCCACCCCGAACCCAUCCAAGACCACCGUUCGACGCGCCUUGAUCUCCUCUACCUCCUCGUGCAAGGAAUCGACCCGAGGCGCCCUCUUCCCUCUUCGUUUUCGCCGAUUCCUCCUCGGCGUCUGCGAGCUCCGGCGCCGAUUCUGGCCGCCGUGGUCACCCUCCGGCGACCUCGACCACACCACCGUGCUCGGGAUCCUCACCGCCGGCGAACUUCCGGCGCUCCCCGACGACGGCGCCACCUCCCUUUGGUCCGCGCCGACGAGGCGACCUCGAAGCCCCACCCUCGCUUCCUGGAACGCGUCCGCUCGCCCGCGCGCGUUCGUGCCUUUCGCUGGUGAUCACCGCGCGCCGCCUGGUGGUCACCGCCCUCUCUGUCGCACAAGCUCGGCCACGUCGUCCGCCACGCGGCAUCCACGUCGUCGCAUGGUCCCAUCCGUCGGCCCGGUCGGGCUAGGCCCAUCUCCGCAUUUGCUUCUUCCCGGAUAGGAUCACGAAGUGGUGAUGUGAGAUACGACAAGUUCUUCUGCAGCUUUUCACAGGCGAGCCCACCCCUUCACCUAUUUUACAUUUACAUGCUCUUUUGAUCUAUUGCUAUCCCUAUGUUGCGAUUCUGUUGUGUCACGUGUCCUAUUCCACCUGUUACCCUAUAUGAUCCGAGAUACACCUCCUUGCCCUACCUGAUGUUUGUUGUUUGCCAGCUUUGCGAGUCGUAGGCGAGUUUAGGGUUUUGUUGCUAUCUCGAAAUGUUCGGGAUAUCUUGUUGGGAGGUUAUCACAUGCUAUAUCAGUUGUUGGAGAGAAUCAUGAUUUACUUUAUUAUUAACAACUAAAAUUGUAAGCAGAGGCAUCUGUGAGCCCCUUUGCGAAAGCAUCGGAACUUUGACUCGCUAAUGUCCCCUAGGACCCGAGUUCUUGUUAUCUGUUCCGAGAUUGAGCGCUCUACCCGUACGUGGGGGAGUGGGACCCCCAUCACCCACUACCUUUCCUCGAGUCUAUUUAUUGGGAGCCACAACCUUGGUUUUAUUUGCUCAUAUGCACGAUGCAUGAUUUACUUCUGUUGCCUUCGGGUGUUUAUAUUCUGUAUUGUACUCAUCUUGUGGAACGAUUAGCGACAGCAGGUUGUUCACACUUAGCUUAGCCGUUGGCACAAACCUCUGGGUCCGUAUCGGAGUACGGCCGAACUUCGUCACGGGUAGCUUAGUGGGGUGGCUCCCCUUAAACUUUCUCUUGCAUUGGGAACGGUCUUGAUGUGAGACUCCACCUGUAGCAAGUGGGUUCGAGCAUGCGUAUGGUUACAUUUGGGCAACCCCUGCAGGGCGUACAUCUUAUCGAUAAGCCGUGUCCGCGGUUAUGGACGACUUGGAAUUGUAUGGCUUGAUCAUAGAACAACUUACACUAUUAUCUUGUUGUUAAUAAUCUGAUAAUAACUUGAUUAGUAAUUUAGCAUUACUACAACCGAUACCUAAUAAAACUUGUCCACCGUUGAGUGCCUUUUACAUUGCCUCUUCGCAAUUGUUGAAGGGGAUAUGUGUAAUCGGCUGGGUUAUGUUUGUGUAGUAUUUAUCUGUUACCUUGUGCGCUCUCUUAUCUUCUCUGAGUAGACGGAUGUUGUAGCGUGUCUCUAUUGGAUAGUAGCUUUGCUGCCGCUAAACUCCACAUAUAGCCGGGUGAAGUUUAUACCGCCCACCAGCGAGCAUAGCUGGUCUUGUCUCGCAAGUACGUGCCAAUGGUACUUACCCUCGCCUUCCUUUCUUUUUGUCUCCUCCCCCUCCUGUCGGCAACCGAUGGCCCGACUUUGACAGGUACGAGAUGAUGACGUUAGCAAGGUUUCCCUUCCGGCUUGGCCUGGGCAGGGUUAUGGACGCCAUCGUUUAUCUUCAGGACUCUUAGUCCAGUUUGUAUCUUGUCCGUACUCGGACGUAUUCGAACUUCUGUAUGAUUUGGAUCU